rnacentral:rRNA from 1 species
UCAAGCGCGAAAAGGGCGUUUGGUGAAUGCCUUGGCAGUAAGAGGCGAUGAAGGACGUGAUACUCUGCGAUAAGUUAUGGGGAGCUGAGAAUAAGCUUUGAUCCAUAAAUUUCCGAAUGGGGCAACCCACCUGAUAUUUUGUUAUUGUUGCACUUCGGUGCAUUCAAUAAUGAGGUAAACCAGGUAUUUAUAACUUGAAUACAUAGGGUUAUAAAAGCAAACCCGGGGAACUGAAACAUCUAAGUACCCGGAGGAAAGGACAUCAAUUAGAUACUCCCCUAGUAGCGGCGAGCGAACGGGGAUCAGCCGAGCCAUGAAUGUGACUAGAAUGUGUUGGAAAGCACAACCGUAGUGGGUGACAGUCCCGUAUAGGAAGCAUGAUUGGACGUAUUAAGUAGGGCGGGACACGUGAAAUCCUGUUCGAAGAUCGGAGGACCACCUCCGAAGGCUAAGUACUCCUUACUGACCGAUAGUGAACCAGUACCGUGAGGGAAAGGUGAAAAGCACCCCGACGAGGGGAGUGAAACAGUUUCUGAAACCGGACGCCUACAAUCAGUCGGAGGCCCCUUGAGGGCUGACGGCGUACCUUUUGUAUAAUGGGUCAUCGACUUAGUGUAUCUAGCAAGCUUAAGCCGUUAGGUGUAGGCGCAGCGAAAGCGAGUCUUAAUAGGGCGAUUGAGUUAGAUGCAUUAGACCCGAAACCGAGUGAUCUAGGCAUGAGCAGGUUGAAGGUAAGGUAACACUUACUGGAGGACCGAACCCACAUCUGUUGAAAAAGAUCGGGAUGACUUGUGCCUAGGGGUGAAAGGCCAAUCAAACUCGGAGAUAGCUGGUUCUCCGCGAAAUCUAUUUAGGUAGAGCGUCAUCCGAAUACCCCGGGGGGUAGAGCACUGGAUGGGUAAUGGGGCCUCACCGGCUUACUGAUCCUAACCAAACUCCGAAUACCCGGGAGUAAUAGAUGGCAGACACACUGCGGGUGCUAACGCCCGUAGUGAAAAGGGAAACAACCCUGACCGACAGUUAAGGCCCCUAAUUCAUGGCUAAGUGGGAAAGCAGGUGGGACGACCAAAACAACCAGGAAGUUGGCUUAGAAGCAGCCAUCUUUUAAAGAUAGCGUAACAGCUCACUGGUCUAAUUUAAGUUAUCCUGCGGCGAAGAUGUACCGGGGCUCAAGCCAUGAGCCGAAGCUAGGGAUGCAAUUUAUUGCAUGGUAGCGGAGCGUUCUGUGAUAUAGAACGCUGCGUCUUUAGUAUCUUAGGAUAUUGUGGACGCAAUGUUCUGACUGUGAAGCCGGCGCGUAAGCGAUCCGGUGGAGUGAUCAGAAGUGAGAAUGUUGACAUGAGUAGCGACAAACAGGGUGAGAGACCCUGUCGCCGAAAGUCCAAGGGUUCCUGCUUAAAGCUAAUCUGAGCAGGGUAAGCCGACCCCUAAGGCGAGGCCGAAAGGCGUAGUCGAUGGGAACCAGUUUAAUAUUACUGGGCCAGGAGAUGGUGACGGAUCGAAAGCGUAGUGACUCCUUAUCGGAUUGAAGUUGCUGCCGGACGGUUCCUGGAAAUAGCCCUCCAUUAGAUCGUACCCUAAACCAACACAGGUGGACUGGUAGAGAAUACCAAGGCGCUUGAGAGAACUACAUUGAAGGAACUCGGCAAAAUGCCUCCGUAAGUUCGCGAGAAGGAGGCCCCAUCAGAAGGCAACUUUUGGUGGGGGGCACAGACCAGGGGGUGGCGACUGUUUACUAAAAACACAGGGCUCUGCGAAGUCGUAAGACGACGUAUAGGGUCUGACGCCUGCCCGGUGCCUGAAGGUUAAAAGGAGGGGUGAGAGCUCCGAAUUGAAGCCCAGGUAAACGGCGGCCGUAACUAUAACGGUCCUAAGGUAGCGAAAUUCCUUGUCGGG